UCACGGGAAGAAAGCUGCAGGGGCCCUGAGAGUGAGAGUGAGCUGAGGGAACCACAAGUGUGAUGCGCAGGUUCCUUUUAGAACAUGACACCACGGAAAGAGCAACAAUCUCUGGCCUCGACAUUCCCGCUUUUCCUGGUGAGACACACAUGUGCACAACGGGUCCUAAAAAAUAACCCAAAGCACAGAUGUUUAAUCCACCAACACCAAAGGUCUGCUAGAAAUAUCUCACUUUCUACAAUGGGGAUCUGCCAGACCCAAGGAUCAAAGCUGUGUCUCGUGGAUCUCCGGCAUUGGCAGUUGCCCAACCAGGGACUGAACCCACAGCCUUGGCAAUGAAAGCCUAACCCCAGACUGCCAGAAAAUUGCUUUACAGAAUCUAAAAUGAAGCCAGGGCACCAUUGAGAAAGUAGAACUUACACCUGUUCACUCUUGAAUGCAAAAUAAACUUUCAACCCAAUGAUCCUGA
ensembl:lncRNA